GAUUUUCAAUUUGUGGCUACACAUACUACAUUUUAAAUUUUCUGGCUAAACAUACUACAUUUUCAAUUUUAAUCACUUUCCAACCACAAAUUUAAAGUUUUGUGCCUAAAAUAAAAAUUCCCCAAUUUCUAAUUCUUAAGAAACUCUAAAACUUAAAACUCAAAUCCAUGGCUUCUUCUUCUAGAGCCAAGAAGCUUCGCUCAAGGUCUUCUCAAAGAGGUCAACCGAGUUUAUCUGAGACUAAUCCCUUGGAUUUGUCAAGGCUACUCUCAACUGAUAAAUAACGAGAAGUGUUUCAGCUAAUGAAUUCAUUUGCCUACUUUAGGAGCUCAAUUUACCUGGACUAA